rnacentral:rRNA from 1 species
AGAGUUUGGUCCUGGCUCAGGACGAACGCUGGCGGCGUGCCUAAUACAUGCAAGUCGAACGCUUCUUUUCUACCGAGUGCUUGCACUCACUUGAAAAGAGGAGUGGCGGACGGGUGAGUAACACGUGGGUAACCUACCCAUCAGAGGGGGAUAACACUUGGAAACAGGUGCUAAUACCGCAUAAUAGUCGACAUCGCAUGGUGUUGAUUUGAAAGACGCUUUCGGGUGUCACUGAUGGAUGGACCCGCGGUGCAUUAGCUAGUUGGUGAGGUAACGGCUCACCAAGGCCAUGAUGCAUAGCCGACCUGAGAGGGUGAUCGGCCACACUGGGACUGAGACACGGCCCAGACUCCUACGGGAGGCAGCAGUAGGGAAUCUUCGGCAAUGGACGAAAGUCUGACCGAGCAACGCCGCGUGAGUGAAGAAGGUUUUCGGAUCGUAAAACUCUGUUGUUAGAGAAGAACAAGUAGGAGAGUAACUGCUCUUACCUUGACGGUAUCUAACCAGAAAGCCACGGCUAACUACGUGCCAGCAGCCGCGGUAAUACGUAGGUGGCAAGCGUUGUCCGGAUUUAUUGGGCGUAAAGCGAGCGCAGGCGGUUUCUUAAGUCUGAUGUGAAAGCCCCCGGCUCAACCGGGGAGGGUCAUUGGAAACUGGGAGACUUGAGUGCAGAAGAGGAGAGUGGAAUUCCAUGUGUAGCGGUGAAAUGCGUAGAUAUAUGGAGGAACACCAGUGGGCGACGCGACUCUCUGGUCUGUAACUGACGCUGAGCUCGAAGCGUGGGGAGCAACAGAUUAGAUACCCUGGUAGUCCACGCGUAAACGAUGA